CCAAUAGAAAACCUAAACCCCAGUUUCAACUAUCCGUAGCUCCAUGUGCGGAGGAGGAGAAGCCAGACCGCAGCUUCAAGUGUGGAGAAGACGAUCGCAACUCCAAGUGCAGAGAAGAUAAUCACAACUCCAAGUGUGGAGAAGACGAACCGCAACUUCAAGUGCGGCAUCCCUGCGCGCCACCCAUAUGUUCGAUCUCUGCCGCCACCCACUGGAACCUCUCCUCCUCUAACCCCACUGCCUGUCUCCGGCACCUUGUCCUUCGAAAAAAUCUCACCUUAACAGAUCACUUUCAAAACCUGUACCGUUCAAAUCACUUUCAAAACAGAUCAGGUUAAACGACGAGGCAACUCUUCACCUCGUUCCAGUUCCUGUUGUUGUCGCCGACUAGAAGGGGCACCUGCAAGAACCUUCUGGCAGUCGGAGCCGUUGCGGAUGUGGAUGUAAGCGGAGGAGGUCACAACAGCCAUGCCCAAGAGUGAGAAAAACCCUAAAGCGUAAUUCCAACUACGGUGAACAUCAACCGCAAAUCCAAAUGCGGCAAGCGUCAACCGCACUUCCAAGUACGGCUACCGUGAAUCGCAUCUAGACAACUACCCACUGCAAGAACUCACCCCAUCGCGACACAGCUACCAAAAACAGAUCUUUGAGAAUGAAGAAUGAAACUACAACAAAUAAAACGAGGGAGGAGGAAUGAGAGGAGGAAGGUGGGGGAAAAACAAUUAAGCGAGAAAAGAGGAAAAAAAAAGGAGUGUAGGGAAAUAAAAUAUGCGGCAGCAAAAAGAGGUAGAGGACCAAGGAAUUGAUAGCUUAUUUUUAAUUGGUGAAUGAGUCGAAUAAAAAAACAAUAAAAAUAAUUUUUAAUAAAAACACAAUUAGAAAAUAUAAAAGAAAGAGGAGGUAGAGGAUUAAGAAGAUGUAGGAAGAAAUACUCGUAACCGAGACAUAAAGGUACAACACCGGUUUGUAGCAGAAUCGAAGGGUAACAUCCUCCACAAUCAGUUUGCAAGUCAAACUUUACAUCUGACACGUUUUUUGAAACACAUAUACUACUUCGGUUGCUGCAGGACGGAAGUAUGAAAGGCUACGACCUUGGUUAAUAGCAGAACUGAGGCAUAAGGUUCUGCACCUUUUCCAGCUUUUCAUCUGACACAGAGUUACUAUCUCGGUUUUCCAGCUAAUUUCAAAUUUUCUCAUUUUCUUAAAAAAUAAACUUUGAGUGUGUGUUUAAUCGAAUCCUAUAACGUGUGUUACUGCCUCAGUUUUAUUGUUAACCGAGUUAAUAGCCUUUAUUUACUAGCAGGACUACAGUAGAUCUUAUUUACGCUAACAAUUUUC
rnacentral:lncRNA from 1 species